AUUGAACGCUGGCGGCAUGCCUUACACAUGCAAGUCGAACGGCAGCACGGGAGCAAUCCUGGUGGCGAGUGGCGAACGGGUGAGUAAUAUAUCGGAACGUGCCCGGUCGUGGGGGAUAACGUAGCGAAAGCUACGCUAAUACCGCAUACGAUCUACGGAUGAAAGCGGGGGAUCGCAAGACCUCGCGCGAUUGGAGCGGCCGAUAUCAGAUUAGGUAGUUGGUGAGGUAAAGGCUCACCAAGCCGACGAUCUGUAGCUGGUCUGAGAGGACGACCAGCCACACUGGGACUGAGACACGGCCCAGACUCCUACGGGAGGCAGCAGUGGGGAAUUUUGGACAAUGGGCGCAAGCCUGAUCCAGCAAUGCCGCGUGCAGGAUGAAGGCCUCGGUUGUAACGUAGC
rnacentral:rRNA from 1 species